GACGAUGCGUAGGGGUUCUGAGAGGAAGGUCCCCCACACUGGUACUGAGACACGGACCAGACUCCUACGGGAGGCAGCAGUGAGGAAUAUUGGUCAAUGGGAGAGAUCCUGAACCAGCCAAGCCGCGUGAGGGAAGACGGCCCUAUGGGUUGUAAACCUCUUUUGUCGGAGAACAAAACCCGGGACGAGUCCCGGACUGCGUGUAUCCGAAGAAAAAGCAUCGGCUAACUCCGUGCCAGCAGCCGCGGUAAUACGGAGGAUGCGAGCGUUAUCCGGAUUUAUUGGGUUUAAAGGGUGCGUAGGCGGUCUGUUAAGUCAGCGGUAAAAUUGCGGGGCUCAACCCCGUCGAGCCGUUGAAACUGGCAGACUUGAGUUGGCGAGAAGUACGCGGAAUGCGCGGUGUAGCGGUGAAAUGCAUAGAUAUCGCGCAGAACUCCGAUUGCGAAGGCAGCGUACCGGCGCCAGACUGACGCUGAGGCACGAAAGCGUGGGGAUCGAACAGGAUUAGAUACCCUGGUAGUCCACGCAGUAACCGAUGAAUGCUGGUUGUCCGGGUCGAAUGAGACCUGG
rnacentral:rRNA from 1 species